GCCCAUCCUUCAGCCAGGUGAUGAUUCCUGCAAGGGAAGGGGGGGAUGUGUAAAGAAGCAGCUCUCUCCUUCUCUUUCCAUGGUGGGUCAAGCAAGUUGUUCAUUUCAGAAGCCAUUCCAACCAGGCCUAUCUGCUCCAGGAUACAGGCUCUGAGGAAAGCCUGUUGUGUGCAGCCUGUUUUUGUCAUCCAUGGGACCUGACAGCAAAUCCAGCAUGAGAAUAUGGAGAAUUCACAUGUGGAGAAUGCAGCCACUAGGAGCUGAAACAUCAUCCCAGGCUCCCUUCACAUCAACCACUGGUCCUCCAGCCAAAUAUUUUAUCAUGAGCUUGGCCUAAAUGAAAGGCAGUCUGCUAAAAGGAGAAGAUUCCAGAUCCACAAUGACAAACACUGAGUGGCUGAUAUUUUGGCAACGUUAUUCAGCUAUUCAGUGAUGAUUGCUGUAGAGCCAUAACAUUUAAAACCUCACAGGUGAAUUUUGCCUAGGGGACAAACAUUUUCUUGUACACUUCAGAGAGAACUGAAACUCAGCAUGAAAU